rnacentral:rRNA from 1 species
GAUGAACGCUGGCGGCGUGCCUAAUACAUGCAAGUCGAGCGGACAGACGAGGAGCUUGCGCCUCUGAUGUUAGCGGAGGGCGGGUGAGUAACACGUGGAUCACCUACCUAUAAGACUGGGAUAACUACGGGAAACCGGAGCAAAUACCGGAUAACAUGUUGAACCGCAUGGGUCAACAGUGAGAGACGGUGUUGGUGUAUGUAAUAGCUGGAUCCGCGCUGCAUUGGCUGGUCGGUAAGGUAACGGCUUACCAAGGCAACGAUGCGUAGCCGACCUGAGGGGGUGAUCGGCCACAUGGGAGCUUAGACGCGCUCCAUGCGCCUACGGGAGGCAGCAGUAGGGAACCUGCCGCAGUGGGCGAAAGCCUGACGGAGCAACGCCGCGCGAGUGAAGAAGGUCUUCGGAUCGUAAAACUCUGUUAUGAGUGAAGAACAAAUUUGUAAGUAACUAUGCACGGCUUGACGGUACCUAAUCAGAAAGCCCCGGCUAACUACGUG